AGCUCCAAUAGCGUAUAUUAAAGUUGUUGCAGUUAAAAAGCUCGUAGUUGGAUUUCUGGCGUGAGGUGCUUGACCCGCCGCGGUUUACGCGUGUGAGUGUCGGUGUGCCUCGGCCAUCCUUCUAGAAAUUGGCUCUGCUCUUCAUUGAGUCGGGGUCAGGAUCUAGAUCUUUUACUUUGAAAAAAUUAGAGUGUUUAAAGCAAGCUUUGCGUGAAUACAUUAGCAUGGAAUAAUAACUUAGGACUUCGGUUCUAUUUUGUUGGUUACUAGGACUGAAGUAAUGAUUGAUAGGGAUAGUUGGGGGUGCUAGUAUUCAGCGGCCAGAGGUGAAAUUCUUGGAUUCGCUGAAGACUAACUUAUGCGAAAGCAUUCACCAAGGAUGUCU
rnacentral:rRNA from 1 species